GGUGUGGUGGCCAAGUGGUAAGGCGUUGGUCUUGUAAAUCAAAGAUCAUGUGUGAGCCACAUCUUUCAUUC